CGCCCGGCGCCAUUUUCCGACAUUCCUCAAGCGGGUGCUGCCAUCUAGUGCCCGUCCCGGGGCUACGACCCCGCCGCCCCUCAGUGCGGGCCGUCGGCUCUGUGAAAUUAACCUCUCCUUCCCGUUAACUUGUGACGGGGAAACGGGGGUUUUACACGCCGCCUAGCCCGCGGGUGAAAGAGGGGCUGCCUCACGGGAAGUGUCUGUGCAGAGCUGUGUGGGCGAGAAGCGGUCUCUCGUCAGGGGGCUUCCCGAAAGGAUUUGCUAAACGCCCCGUUUCGGAGCAGUCAAAGAACUGUCCUCCAGAUAAACAGCAAAACCUCAACACUCAAACAUUUUUAUUUUGGAGAAGAGGGGAAGGGGAUGCUACUGAUGCGCUUUUGAUUUUUAAAUUUUUUUUGUCGAAUAGUAUUCAUUUGGCACUUCUGUAUUUUUAAGGAUAAAAAGACAUUUAGAAGACCUGGCAUCGAUAGACACAUUUUGUAACUUGAUUUUAAGGCAGGGAACUGGGAUUUAGUUUUAGUUAGAUUUAGAAGCUUUCCUGUAGUUUUCCUAAUUCAGACCUUGAACCACAAUGCUCCUAGCAAUGAUAACCAUAAACUUAAUAUAAUUUGACCCAAAGGAGAAAUGUUUUUCCAUCAAAGCAAAUGACAUACAAGAAGCACACAUAUUGGGAACAGAUAGACAAGAAACCAGUGGAAGGUCAAAGAGGAAGAUUUUAAAGAGAGAACAGGCAUCACCUAGGAGAGCCCCAGGAGGAUCUGGACAGGAGACCCCAAGAUGGACUGCAGUGUCAGAGAUGGGAGACAUUGGGAUGCCUUUCCAGCAGCUGUUGGCUAGAAAUAGUCAGAGUGAAGCAUUGCCUCUGCAGUACAUCUUUCAUCUCACAGUUGACCAUCUGUGGAAAGGAUACGCCCUUCAUCUCCCUGUGCACAAAGAUGUAUUUACAGCGAAGAAGAUAGUAGAGGUAGCAAAGACAUAAUUACCUGUGGGUUUGUAAGUGGCAGAUUUGUCUUAGCCUUUUGUUCUGAGUAAUAGAGAGAGAAUACAUGUGAGCAUAGAUUUAUU
rnacentral:lncRNA from 1 species